CACGUAGGGGACGAGCGUUGUCCGGAUUUAUUGGGCGUAAAGAGCGUGUAGGCGGCUUGGUAGGUCUCGCGUCAAAACCUGAGGCUCAACCUCAGUUCGCGUGGGAAACCACCUAGCUAGAGUCCGGAAGAGGAGAACGGAAUUCCCAGUGUAGCGGUGAAAUGCGCAGAUAUUGGGAAGAACACCAGUGGCGAAGGCGGUUCUCUGGGACGGUACUGACGCUGAGACGCGAAAGCGUGGGGAGCAAACAGG
rnacentral:rRNA from 1 species